UGGGGGAUAUUGCACAAUGGGCGCAAGCCUGAUGCAGCGACGCCGCGUGGGGGAUGAAGGCCUUUGGGUUGUAAACUUCUUUUGCUCUGAACAAGGCGCACUUUGGGGUGUGUUGAGUGUAGGGGUUGAUUAGCGCCGGCUAACUACGUGCCAGCAGCCGCGGUAAUACGUAGGGCGCGAGCGUUGUCCGGAAUUAUUGGGCGUAAAGGGCUUGUAGGUGGCUGGUUGCGUCUGUCGUGAAAGCUCAUGGCUUAACUGUGGGUUUGCGGUGGGUACGGGCUGGCUUGAGUGCAGUAGGGGAGGCUGGAAUUCCUGGUGUAGCGGUGGAAUGCGCAGAUAUCAGGAGGAAUACAGGUGGCGAAGGCGGGUCUCUGGGCUGUUACUGACACUGAGGAGCGAAAGCAUGGGGAGCGAACAGG
rnacentral:rRNA from 1 species